rnacentral:rRNA from 1 species
CAAUAGCGUAUAUUAAAGUUGUUGCGGUUAAAAAGCUCGUAGUUGGAUUUCUGCUGAGGAUGACCGGUCCGCCCUCUGGGCAGGUAUCUGGCUCAGCCUUGGCAUCUUCCUGAAGAACGCAGCUGCACUUGACUGUGUGGUGCGGUAUUUAGGACAUUUACUUUGAGGAAAUUAGAGUGUUUCAAGCAAGCGCACGCCUUGAAUACAUUAGCAUGGAAUAAUAAGAUAGGACCUCGGUUCUAUUUUGUUGGUUUCUAGAACUGAGGUAAUGAUUGAUAGGGAUAGUUGGGGGCAUUCGUAUUUAACUGUCAGAGGUGAAAUUCUCGGAUUUGUUAAAGACGGACUACUGCGAAAGCAUUUGCCAAGGAUGUUUUCAUUGA